rnacentral:rRNA from 1 species
GUAGUCAUAUGCUUGUCUCAAAGAUUAAGCCAUGCAUGCCUAAGUAUAAGCAACUAUACGGUGAAACCGCGAAUGGCUCAUUAAAUCAGUUAUCGUUUAUUUGAUAGUACCUUACUACUUGGAUAACCGUGGUAACUCUAGAGCUAAUACAUGCUAAAAACCCCAACUACGGAAGGGGUGUAUUUAUUAGAUAAAAAACCAACGCCCUUCGGGGCUCCUUGGUGAUUCAUAAUAACUAAACGAAUCGCAUGGCCUUGCGCCGGCGAUGGUUCAUUCAAAUUUCUGCCCUAUCAACUUUCGAUGGUAGGAUAGUGGCCUACCAUGGUAUCAACGGGUAACGGGGAAUUAGGGUUCUAUUCCGGAGAGGGAGCCUGAGAAACGGCUACCACAUCCAAGGAAGGCAGCAGGCGCGCAAAUUACCCAAUCCCGACACGGGGAGGUAGCGACAAUAAAUAACAAUGCAGGGCCCUUUGGGUCUUGCAAUUGGAAUGAGUACAAUUUAAAUCCCUUAACGAGGAGCAAUUGGAGGGCAAGUCUGGUGCCAGCAGCC